CCCUCAAUCCCUCUGUUACUGUGUCACUAUACCCCACUCCCUCUAACAUGUAAACUCACUGAGCAGGCCCUCAAUCCCUCUGUUACUGUCACUAUACCCCACUCCCUCUAACAUGUAAACUCACUGAGCAGGCCCUCAAUCCCUCUGUUACUGUGUCACUAUACCCCACUCCCUCUAACAUGUAAACUCACUGAGCAGGCCCUCAAUCCCUCUGUUACUGUGUCACUAUAUCCCACUCCCUCUAACAUGUAAACUCACUGAGCAGGGCCCUCAAU